rnacentral:lncRNA from 1 species
GCCUCUGCAUGCCCAAGAGCUUGUCACGCAUGAAUUGUCUUCUCUAAGGCCUAGCUGGGAACACUGCAGACCACUGUCCCUCCAGAAGGCAGAGGGCAAAGGCAGAGAAGAAAAAGGCAGCGUAUUCUCAGGCUGCUCUCUACCCACUGAAGAUGGUAUCUGCUCUCUCCAGAGGCAGCAAAUCCCCUGUUCACCUCUGGCCAGCUGGUAAAAGAGACUUAAAGUGACUGAGCGCCAGGGUCGAAGGGCCCAUGAA